rnacentral:lncRNA from 1 species
GUGAUACAGGAGGCACGGUGACAAAACAGAUCUCCAAUAGCAUGCAAGCAGCACAGCUGGAGGGCUGCAGCCAAGAACUGCCGCAUCACGAUGAAUAUGGUACUUACCCUUGACUGCUUCUGAGGAGUCAGGCUCAAAAAAUUUCCUCUCGGGAGGCUGUGUCGGUAGGUGGAGAGUAAGUGCUUUGUGAGCUCCAGAGCCCCAGGGAAGAUUGGAGUGCGGGUUCUGCAGAGCUGCGCCCUUCAUUAUGCAGUUCUGGUUCCAAAAAGGGACUGCUUCUGCUUCGAAAGGAAGCUUCUAAAGGUAACUCUUGUGGAAAAAAAAGCAGGUCUGCAAAGUGAAUGAGAGAGGGGUCAGUGCUUUUGCCCUGAGAAAAAUCAGUGUGCUUCUAGUUAUCAAGUUU